rnacentral:rRNA from 1 species
ACGAACGCUGGCGGCACGCUUAACACAUGCAAGUCGAACGAGAGAAGAGAAGCUUGCUUUUCUGAUCUAGUGGCGGGCGGGUGAGUAACACGUGAGCAAUCUGCCUUUCAGAGGGGGAUACCGAUUGGAAACGAUCGUUAAUACCGCAUAAUAUAAUUGAACCGCAUGAUUUGAUUAUCAAAGAUUUAUCGCUGAAAGAUGAGCUCGCGUCUGAUUAGCUAGUUGGUAAGGUAACGGCUUACCAAGGCGACGAUCAGUAGCCGGACUGAGAGGUUGAUCGGCCACAUUGGGACUGAGACACGGCCCAGACUCCUACGGGAGGCAGCAGUGGGGAAUAUUGCACAAUGGAGGAAACUCUGAUGCAGCGAUGCCGCGUGAGGGAAGAAGGUUUUAGGAUUGUAAACCUCUGUCUUCAGGGACGAAAAAAGACGGUACCUGAGGAGGAAGCUCCGGCUAACUACGUGCCAGCAGCCGCGGUAAUACGUAGGGAGCGAGCGUUGUCCGGAAUUACUGGGUGUAAAGGGAGCGUAGGCGGGAUCGCAAGUCAGAUGUGAAAACUAUGGGCUUAACCCAUAAACUGCAUUUGAAACUGUGGUUCUUGAGUGAAGUAGAGGUAAGCGGAAUUCCUAGUGUAGCGGUGAAAUGCGUAGAUAUUAGGAGGAACAUCAGUGGCGAAGGCGGCUUACUGGGCUUUAACUGACGCUGAGGCUCGAAAGCGUGGGGAGCAAACAGGAUUAGAUACCCUGGUAGUCCACGCCGUAAACGAUGAUUACUAGGUGUGGGGGGACUGACCCCUUCCGUGCCGCAGCAAACGCAAUAAGUAAUCCACCUGGGGAGUACGACCGCAAGGUUGAAACCCAAAGGAAUUGACGGGGGCCCGCACAAGCAGUGGAGUAUGUGGAUUAAUUCGAAGCAACGCGAAGAACCUUACCAGGUCUUGACAUCGUAUGCAUAGCUCAGAGAUGAGUGAAAUCUCUUCGGAGACAUAUAGACAGGUGGUGCAUGGUUGUCGUCAGCUCGUGUCGUGAGAUGUUGGGUUAAGUCCCGCAACGAGCGCAACCCUUACUGUUAGUUGCUACGCAAGAGCACUCUAGCAGGACUGCCGUUGACAAAACGGAGGAAGGUGGGGAUGACGUCAAAUCAUCAUGCCCCUUAUGACCUGGGCCUCACACGUACUACAAUGGCUGUUAACAGAGGGAUGCAAAGCCGCGAGGUGGAGCGAACCCCUAAAAGCAGUCUUAGUUCGGAUUGUAGGCUGCAACCCGCCUACAUGAAGUCGGAAUUGCUAGUAAUCGCAGAUCAGCAUGCUGCGGUGAAUACGUUCCCGGGCCUUGUACACACCGCCCGUCACGCCAUGGGAGUCGGUAACACCCGAAGCCUGUAGUCUAACCGCAAGGAGGACGCAGUCGAAGGUGGGAUUGAUGACUGGGGUG